rnacentral:rRNA from 1 species
AGCAGCCGCGGUAAUUCCAGCUCCAAUAGCGUAUAUUAAAGUUGUUGCAGUUAAAAAGCUCGUAGUUGAAUUUCGGGGUUCCACCGUUGGUCGGGCUAUUGUCUGUACUGGUGUGUGGAAUUUCUACCUUCUGGGGAACUAUCAUGUUAUUAAUUUAGCGUGGUAGGAAACCAGGACCUUUACCAUGAAAAAAUUAGAGUGUUCAAAGCAGGCUUAUGUCUGAAUACAUUAGCAUGGAAUAAUAAAAUAGGACGGUGGUCCUGUUUUGUUGGUUUCUGAAUCACCGUAAUGAUUAAUAGGGAUAGUUGGGGGCAUUAGUAUUCAAUUGUCAGAGGUGAAAUUCUUGGAUUUAU